rnacentral:rRNA from 1 species
GGUCAAGUGAAGAAGCGCAUACGGUGGAUGCCUUGGCAGUCAGAGGCGAUGAAAGACGUGGUAGCCUGCGAAAAGCUUCGGGGAGUCGGCAAACAGACUGUGAUCCGGAGAUGUCUGAAUGGGGGAACCCAACUGUCAUAAGACAGUUACCUUACACUGAAUACAUAGGUGUA